rfam:Triticum aestivum genome assembly, contig: Triticum_aestivum_CS42_TGACv1_scaffold_704425_T_7BL-0.036241_3B-0.028570
AAAGUACUCCCUCCGUACCAAAAUUCUUGUCUUAGAUUUGUCUAGAUACGGAUGUAUCAAGUCACAUUUUAGUAUUAGAUACAUCCGUAUCUAGACAAAUCUAAGACAAGAAAUUUGGGACAGAGGGAGUAGUUG